UUUUGUUAAGUGUGUAAGAGCACACGGUGGAUGCCUUGGCAUCAAGAGCCGAUGAAGGACGUGGGAGACUGCGUUAAGCCUAGGGGAGUUGUCAACCGAGCGGUGAUCCUAGGAUGUCCGAAUGGGGAAACCUAGCCACAGUGAUGUGUGGUUACCUGCGCCUGAAUAUAUAGGGCGUGUGGAGGGAACGCGGGGAAGUGAAACAUCUCAGUACCCGUAGGAAGAGAAAACAACCGUGAUUCCGUGAGUAGUGGCGAGCGAAAGCGGAUGAGGCUAAACCAUAUGCGUGUCAAGCCGGCAGGCGUUGCGUGUGUGGUGUUGUGGGAGCAAGUGUGUGUGGCUGCCGUCGCACGCUGUUGAUGUUGUCGUUAGCGGAAGUCGUUUGGAACGGCGCACCGUAGUGGGUGAGAGUCCCGUACGUGAAAGUGGCAAUUAUUGAUGGUUCUUGUUUCCCGAGUAGCACCGGGCCCGUGAAAUCUGGUGUGAAUCUGUCGGGACCACCCGAUAAGCCUAAAUACUUCUUGAUGACCGAUAGCGGACCAGUACCGUGAGGGAAAGGUGAAAAGUACCCCGGGAGGGGAGUGAAAUAGUACCUGAAACCGUGUGCUUACAAUCCGUCAGAGGCUUUCGGGCUGAUGGCGUGCCUUUUGAAGAAUGAGCCUGCGAGUUAGUGGUAUGUCGCGAGGUUAACCCGUGUGGGGUAGCCGGAGCGAAAGCGAGUCCGAAGAGGGCGUUGAGUGGCAUGCUCUAGACCCGAAGCGGGGUGAUCUACCCAUGGCCAGUGUGAAGCGACGGUAAGACGUCGUGGAGGCGCGAACCCACUUAGGUUGAAAACUGAGGGGAUGAGCUGUGGGUAGGGGUGAAAGGCCAAUCAAACUCCGUGAUAGCUGGUUCUCCCCGAAAUGCAUUUAGGUGCAGCGUCGUGUGUUUCAUCUUGGAGGUAGAGCUACUGGAUGGUCGAGGGGGCUUAUCCGCUUACCGACAUCAGCCAAACUCCAAAUGCCAGGAUGUGAGAGCACGGCAGUGAGACUGUGGGGGAUAAGCUUCAUAGUCGAGAGGGAAACAGCCCAGAUCGCCGGCUAAGGCCCCUAAGCGUGUACUAAGUGGAAAAGGAUGUGGGAUCGCUUAGACAACCAGGAGGUUGGCUCAGAAGCAGCCACCCUUGAAAGAGUGCGUAAUAGCUCACUGGUCAAGUGGUCCUGCGCCGACAAUGUAGUGGGGCUCAAGUACACCGCCGAAGCCGCGGCAUUCCAGUUUUUGGGAUGGGUAGGGGAGCGUCGUGUAUCCGUUGAAGCUGCAGAGUGAUCUAGUGGUGGAGGGUAUGCGAGUGAGAAUGCAGGCAUGAGUAGCGAAUGACAUGUGAGAAACAUGUCCUCCGGAUGACCAAGGGUUCCUGGGCUAGGCUAAUCCUCCCAGGGUGAGUCGGGUCCUAAGGCGAGGCCGACAGGCGUAGUCGAUGGAUAACGGGUUGAUAUUCCCGUACCCGUAUAAGCGCGCCCAUGGUGAAUCAGUGAUACUAACUGUCCAGAAGCUGCUGCUUCCUCUUUUUGGGGUGGUGGUGGUGGAUGCACGGGACCUGAUCUGGUAGUAGCCAAGCGAUGGGGUGACGCAGGAAGGUAGCUGUGCCAGGUAGUGGAUUGCCUGGUGUAAGCGUGUAGGGUGACAGGUUGGCAAAUCCGCCUGUUGUGUACCUGAGACGUGAUGCGUAGCCAUUGUGGUGAAGUCAGUGAUCCUAUGCUGCCGAGAAAAGCCUCUAGUGAGUUCUUAUACGGCCCGUACCCCAAACCGACACAGGUGGUCAGGUAGAGAAUACUAAGGAGUUCGAGAGAACUGUGGUUAAGGAAUUCGGCAAAAUGCCCCCGUAACUUUGGAAGAAGGGGGACCGGUGUUGGUGAUCACUUUUUCGGUGUGAGCUGAUGUCGGUCGCAGAGACCAGAGAGAAGCGACUGUUUACCAAAAACACAGGUCCGUGCGAAGACGUAAGUCGAUGUAUACGGACUGACGCCUGCCCGGUGCUGGAAGGUUAAGAGGACUGGUUAGUGGCCUUUGUGGCUGCGAAGCUGAGAAUUUAAGCCCCAGUAAACGGCGGUGGUAACUAUAACCAUCCUAAGGUAGCGAAAUUCCUUGUCGGGUAAGUUCCGACCUGCACGAAUGGCGUAACGACUUCUCUACUGUCUCAACCACAGACUCGGCGAAAUUGCAUUACGAGUAAAGAUGCUCGUUACGCGCGGCAGGACGAAAAGACCCCGGGACCUUCACUAUAGCUUGGCAUUGGUGUUCGGUUUUGUUUGUGUAGGAUAGGUGGGAGACUGUGAAGCUCAGACGCCAGUUUGGGCGGAGUCGUUGUUGAAAUACCACUCUGAUGAAAUUGGACCUCUAACCUCGGACCAUGAUCUGGUUUAGGGACAGUGCCUGGUGGGUAGUUUAACUGGGGCGGUUGCCUCCCAAAGAGUAACGGAGGCGCCCAAAGGUUCCCUCAGCCUGGUUGGCAAUCAGGUGUUGAGUGUAAGUGCACAAGGGAGCUUGACUGUGAGACUGACAGGUCGAGCAGGGACGAAAGUCGGGACUAGUGAUCCGGCACCGGCUUGUGGAAGCGGUGUCGCUCAACGGAUAAAAGGUACCCCGGGGAUAACAGGCUGAUCUUCCCCAAGAGUCCAUAUCGACGGGAUGGUUUGGCACCUCGAUGUCGGCUCGUCGCAUCCUGGGGCUGGAGUCGGUCCCAAGGGUUGGGCUGUUCGCCCAUUAAAGCGGCACGCGAGCUGGGUUCAGAACGUCGUGAGACAGUUCGGUCUCUAUCCGCCGUGCGCGUAAGAAACUUGUGGAAGGCUGCCCCUAGUACGAGAGGACCGGGGUGGACGAACCUCUGGUGUGCCAGUUGUUCCGCCAGGAGCAUGGCUGGUUGGCUACGUUCGGAAGGAAUAACCGCUGAAAGCAUCUAAGCGGGAAGUCUGUUCCAAGAUGAGGUUUCUCACCACCUUUGCGUGGGUAAGGCCCCCAAUAGACGAUUGGGUUGAUAGGCCGGAUCUGGAAGCACAGUAAUGUGUGGAGGUGACCGGUACUAAUGGGCCGAGGGCUUAACAUU
rnacentral:rRNA from 1 species